rnacentral:rRNA from 1 species
AUUGAACGCUGGCGGCAUGCCUUACACAUGCAAGUCGAACGGUAACAGGCCGCAAGGUGCUGACGAGUGGCGAACGGGUGAGUAAUGCAUCGGAACGUACCCAGUCGUGGGGGAUAACGUAGCGAAAGUUACGCUAAUACCGCAUACGUCCUGAGGGAGAAAGCGGGGGACCGUAAGGCCUCGCGCGAUUGGAGCGGCCGAUGUCGGAUUAGCUAGUUGGCGGGUAAAGGCCCACCAAGGCGACGAUCGAUAGCUGGUCUGAGAGGAUGAUCAGCCACACUGGAACUGAGACACGGUCCAGGACUCCUACGGGAGGCAGCAGUAGGGAAUAUUGGACAAUGGGGGCAACCCUGAUCCAGCCAUGCCGCGUGAGUGAAGAAGGCCCUCGGGUUGUAAAGCUCUUUUGUCCGGAAAGAAAGCAAUCGGUUAAUACCCGGUUGUUCUGACGGUACCGGAAGAAUAAGCACCGGCUAACUUCGUGCCAGCAGCCGCGGU